UAAGGAAUAUUGGUCAAUGGAGGAAACUCUGAACCAGCCAUGCCGCGUGGAGGAUGAAGGUCCUCUGGAUUGUAAACUUCUUUUAUAUGGGACGAAAAAAGGGCUUUCUAGCUCGACUGACGGUACCAUAUGAAUAAGCACCGGCUAACUCCGUGCCAGCAGCCGCGGUAAUACGGAGGGUGCAAGCGUUAUCCGGAUUCACUGGGUUUAAAGGGAGCGUAGGUGGGUUGCCAAGUCCGAGGUGAAAUCUCCGAGCUUAACUCGGAAACUGCCUUGGAUACUGGUAGUCUUGAAUAUUGUGGAGGCUAGCGGAAUAUGUCAUGUAGCGGUGAAAUGCUUAGAUAUGACAUAGAACACCAAUUGCGAAGGCAGCUGGCUACACAUAUAUUGACACUGAGGCUCGAAAGCGUGGGGAUCAAACAG
rnacentral:rRNA from 1 species